rnacentral:lncRNA from 1 species
GGAGCAGAAUUAACAGGUACAGUGAGAGAAAUUGCUACUACUUUUCAGUGUGAAUGUACUCAGCAGGGCAUUUUGGAGUAAAAGUUUGUUCUAAGAAGUGCCAUGGGAGAAGACCGUUCUGAUGGCGUAAAGGUAAGGCACUGGGCCUCUGCUGUCCUGGGGGAUGUCCUACAACUUAUGAGGCUUUGUGAAGGCCAGAGUCACCUUCAAGCCUUUGUCUAAAUGUUGCGUUCUCCCUGAGGCUUAACCCAUCUUAGUAUCUUAGACCCCUCUCCUGGAAAAAAAAAAAAAAAUCCUUGCCAUUAACACCCUUCACCAUGCUAAAUUAUUUACUUAUUUAUUAAAUCUAUUGCUUCACUAUCUCCUCUGUUAGAGAGUAAGGCCCACAAGGAUGGAAAUCUUUGUUUCAUGCACUGAUAUAUUUCCAGUACUAGAGUUUCUGGAACAUAGCAGGCAUUUGAGUUACUGGACCUCCUGAUGAUAAGAGAAAUCAACUGAAAAACAUAGACAAUCUUAGUCUCGCAAUUUAUCCCUCCUCCCCACCUUCCCCCCUGGUAACCAUAAGAUUGUUUUUUAUAUCUGUGACUCUAUUUCUGUUUUGUAAAUAAGCUCACGUGUACCAUUUUUUAGAUUCCACAUAUAAGUGAUAUCGUAUGCUAUUUGUCUCUGAGUUACUUCACUCAGGAUGAAGAUCUCUGGGUCCAUCCAUGUUGUUGCAAAUGGCAUUAUUUCAUUCUUUAUCAGGGCUGAGUAAUAUUCCAUUGUUUCUAUGUACCACAUCUGUAUCCAUUCAAAAACACUAAAAAUUAAAAUAAUUUAAAAAUUAAAAAAAAAGACAAGACACAGGCAAUGUGACCAUCUUUAUCCCCCAUACUGGUGAAGUAACUGAUAUCAAUUGCAGUUUUCAAUUUUCUAGGGGCUAUUUUAGGGUAUAUUGUUACUGCUAUUAUCAUAAAGCUUUCACUUAAUUAGAGAUUUUUUUCAGUAUUGUUUUGCAUGCUUUUAUUGUGAUUAAUCUUUUUCAAUAUGACAGUCUUUUCUUUUUCCUUAUUCAGUAGGAAAAAGAAUAGUGGGAAGUUAGAACUGCCAAAAAUAAGAAAUUACAUUUCCCCAUGACUAAGGUAAAACUUUACAUAGAGGUUUCUUUUUAGAGUCAUUUAUCCUGGACGAUGGCACAAGCCCAGGUGGGCCCAGAACCUUCCAUGCUGGGCUUCUCUGCUCGCCUGACUGCCUUUUAGCUGAGAAGCUGUGUGUGGGUCCCACAGCCUGGCGGAACCAGUGCCGCUCAUGGGCACAUGUGAGAGUCGGAUUCUCCGGAAGCCAAAGCCUCCUGCCUUCACACCACCACUGAAGCCCACGUUUUCUUUUUUCAUCAUCCCCAAAGAGGAAGGGUAACCAUACCCCUCUUUUUUCUGCCUGUAAUGCUACCAGAGGUCUCCCUCUUUAUUUCUGAUUUCUGUCUGCUUUUUCUAGCUUUUUGAUAUUUUUGAUUUAGAGCUUUGAUAUGUCUCUAAACGGUGACCAAACUGUGAGGGGUGGGGGGAGGGUCCUGAAACCUCUUCUAAUCAAGUUUCAAGCAGGUUGAGUGCCGCGGGAAAGUGCCACGGGAAAAGGCCACACGGUGCCCACCAUCUAUAGCUGCCUCCUGGGAGAAAGCAGAUUUCCCCGAGGGGCCUCGUGACCUUCCUGCAGAUGCUGGAGGCCCUGCACUUGCUGACUGUGUGACCUGAGCCCAGUGGCGAGCCCACAAGGAGUUUUGAGGCUUUAAGGUAACUGGAGGAAGCACUGGGAACAAUGCUUCUUUCUCACAAAGCACUCUGUAAGUGUUCGCAAUUGUUGUUUUCCGUAGGAUGGUUCAGCAAGCCUUUAAUGAAAAUCUGUGUAUGGAGAUUUGUAUUUGACAAUCAACAUU